rnacentral:rRNA from 1 species
UACGUAGGGUGCGAGCGUUAAUCGGAAUUACUGGGCGUAAAGCGUGCGCAGGCGGUUGGCUGUGUCCUGUGUGAAAGCCCCGGGCUCAACCUGGGAAUGGCAUGGGAAACUGGCUGGCUGGAGUGUGGCAGAGGGGGGUGGAAUUCCGCGUGUAGCAGUGAAAUGCGUAGAGAUGCGGAGGAACACCGAUGGCGAAGGCAGCCCCCUGGGCCAACACUGACGCUCAGGCACGAAAGCGUGGGGAGCGAACAGG